rnacentral:lncRNA from 1 species
AAGAAGGGGAGAGAAGUGCAGCGGCAGCGGCAGGGGCAGGGCCUCAGGCGACAGGGGCACGGGGCAACGGUGUGGUGAAGGGGCGCGCGGCUGGUGAGGGGCCGGUGGCGUGAGGCACGUGCCGAGCCCCGGAAGCCCACUCGCUCCCCACACGACACACCCGCACGCGUGUGUGUGUGCGCCCACGACCGCCACAUCCACCACGCACGAAUCAACCGCCCUGACCGCCAACCGUCCCAACCGUCCCAACCGCCAGGUCCGCCCCUCCUCACCUGCCGCAGGAAGUAGCGGUCGUGGCUGACGGCGAUGACGGCGCCCUGGAAGGCGCGGAUGGCCUCCUCCAGCGUCUCCUUGCUGGGGAUGUCCAGGUGGUUGGUGGGCUCGUCCAGGACCAGCAGCGUGCCCUGCGGUACGGCAGUUAGUUGGUUACGGUAGUUGAGAAGUGCCCGCGUGCAUUAGUAAGGAUAGAGGCACAGGGGUGACGUGUGUGUAAGUGUGCGGGUAGGGGGGAAGCGCAAGGACGGCGAGGGAGGGCGCAACACGGUGAUUGUGACAGCGAUGGUGCACGUGUCGGCGGUUGCCCCAGAAGUCAGCGGUACUCCGUCGGUCCGCCGCCGCUCCGUCAAGCUGCUGCUGCUGCUCGCCUGCCCCGGCCCCACCCGUCCAACCUCCCACACACACAUGCAAACACACACACACACACACACACACACACACACACACACACACACACACACACACACACACACACACACACACACACACACACACACAUGCAAACACACACACACACACACGCACACACCUGUGUGCACAUGAACUUGGCGAGCGCCAGACGCGCCUUCUCGCCGCCACUCAGCACCUUGACCUGUGUGCCAUAGUGAGAGAGUGCUUUGUGAAUGUGGGCAAAGAAGCUGGCGAAGGGGACGAGGAGUGUCAGGGGUGCGGACAAGUCAUAGUGCUCCUCAAGGCCAUUCGCCGCACAAAAACACGCCUCUAUCUACUACUCCACUAGCCAGCUGCCUCGUCCCCAAUCCCUGAGCUCGCGCGAUCUCUAUUGAUAUCGCUACCUCUCCCACGCUACCCACGCUUACAUUCCCUCAUGGUAAUCUGUCAAACUAACCUUUUUAUCCAUGGCGUUGCCGCUGAACAGCAUGCGGCCCAAAAGCGACUUGAGGUCGUUCAGCUUGGCGUCAGGCGAGGACUGUGGGGGAAGGGGGAGAGGCAGUGGGAGAGAGGGGUGGUGGAUGGCAAAGGAUGGAACGGUGAAGGGGGGAAACAAACACACAGCGCGUGGGCAAGCCUACCGAGGGCAGGUGGGAUGCGUGACUGCUAUCGCCUAGAAGGCACAACCGCGCAAGCACGCACGCAGCUGCGGGCACCACGGACACCCGCAUCCUCUUCUUCGUGUCUCAGGUCUCUUUACUGGGGCUGGCAAAACAAUCCCAUCCCUCAUCCCAUCGACACGCCACGCCAUGCCCCCCGCCCAUGCCCCCUCCCCCCUUACCUUGACCAGUGUCUCCAGCACCGUCAGCUCCAGGUCCAGCGCCUCCGCCUGGUUCUGCUCAAAGUAGUUGGGCUCGAUGUUGUGCUCGCCCAGGCGCACCGUGCCCUGCGCGUGUGUGUGUGAGUGUAUGUGUGUGUGGGGGGGGGGUUGCACUCAUGAGUGUCUAACAUGUGAAUGCGUAGGGGGAGAGGCGGCAGCGAAUGGGGUUUUGGGAGCAGGAUAUGAGGUGGUGGGGUUUGGGAUGAUGUGUGAGUUGUCCGUGGAACACCGUAACGGGUUUUGGUAACGGGUUUUGCUUUGUCCGUUGCAUCGUACGCGUGCAGCAUGCAUCGCACUGCCACGCCCCCCUAGCACAACGCCGCACCACCCGCGCACCUGCUGCGGCGCCUCGCGGCCCAUGAUGAGCCGGAGCAGCGUGGACUUGCCUGCGAGGGGAGUGGGUGGAUGUGUGGGUGUGUGGUGGCGACACGAGAAGUCAAGGACGAGAUGGAGGGCGAGAGAGUUAGACAGGAUGGCGGGUGGCGGUCGGCAUGCUAUCGUGGGUUACCGUACGUCUCUUACAUGGCUCAGCAAGCCGGCACAAAAAUUCGCCUCCUGUCCUCAACUGUCUACAUCCCCUCAACAAUACUUGCUUUUAAACACAUAUCUCAGCAGCAGUUAUCGUUUUUAUCAAACUCUCACCCGCUCCGUUGGGUCCGAUGAUGGCCACCCUGUCGCCCUUGGCGAUCUCCAGGUUAGCGUUCUUGAACAGCGGCCGGCCCGGGUAGGCGUGUGUCAGGCCCUCAAUGGACAGAACCUGCAGUGGGGGUUACAUUACAUUUCAUCAUUGGCUAUGGCGAGCGGGGGAAAGAGGCACAGUGGGGGUGCGGGGGAUUACAUCACCAGAUGGGGCGCAGGGUGGCGGCGGCGGGGUGGUACAGGGCUCCAUGGCACGGGUUUACGGGCGAGCCCCACGAAUAGCUCCCACGGCAGUGGUGGGCCGCAGCGGGUGGCGAGGCGUCAGGAAGCGGCGGCGGUGAGAGGGAGCCCGCCGUUGCGGCACCAUGCCAUGCGCCUCCCCGUUGUUUCGGUUCGUCAGGACCAUAUUGGAAGUUUGGCACUCCCGGGAACACCAGCCCUGCCCCCCGCCGGCCCUAGGGCCACACACGCCGCCGGCCCAGCCCACACCUUCUGCCCCAUCUUCUCCACGGGCGGGAAGGUGAAGGCUUUGCGCUUGGGCACGAAGGGCUUCUCGAUCAGCCCCUCCGCCUUGAUGCGCUCAAGAGUCUUCUCGGCCUGUGGGUGUGGGUAUUUGUUGUGAUGCCGAGUGCUCAGUACUACAGCUACAGCUCGUGUCGCUUGGAAAUCGUACGCUUGGGAGCCCCCCCCGCCUUGUAUUACAUGCCGCGGGUGACCGGCUUUGGCAUCGGCAUCGGCAUCGGCACGCGGGGGGGCCGUGUCCGCCCCGGCCUCCCCCACCUCCUUCCACCCCAGCUCCCACCUGCCACCCCACAUUCCUCCCCGCCCCAUUUCGUUGGGCUCGGGCACCCCCAACGCCGUCCCCCCCCCCCGCUGUACCGCUUUUCCAACCACCUUUGCAACCCCCGCCCACUCCCCCCCAUCCCAUUGCCCUGGGUUCGGUUAGUUUGGGCUGGUAUCUACGACCCCCCCCCCCCCCCCACACACACACACACACGCCCACCUGGCUGGCUCUGCCGCUCUGCGCGCCCCCUGCCAGUCGCUGCAUGAUCUCCUCCUGCUUGGCGAUCUCCUUCUGCUGCUUCUCCCACGCCGCCCACUGCAGAGCCGUCUUCUCGUUCUGCAGGGCGGAGGACGGGGGAGGGGGUUGGGGAGGUGUUGGGGAGGUGUGGGGAGGUGUUGGGGAGGUGUUGGGGAGCCGGGGUAGGUCGGGCAGCGGGCUGGGAAGAGGUAAGGCGGUUGCAGGGCCGCCGACCGCUUCAUGGCGGGCCGUUUGUGCAGCCCGAACCACUGUCUCUUCGCUUCCUCCAGGCGUCCUGCCUCGCCUGCUCCUGCCCCCCUCCCCCCCUCCCUUCCCCCUUCCCCCCUCCUCCCCCUCCCUCCCUUUCCAUCUCCCCCUCCCCCUCCCCCUCCCUGCCCUCCCUCCCUCACCUUGCUGUUGACGUACUGCGUGUAGUUGCCUGGGUAGGUUGUGGCCACGCCGCGCUCCGUCUCCACGAUCUUGGUGCACAGCUGGUCCAGGAACUCGCGGUCGUGGGACACAAUCACCAUGGGCACCUUCGGGGGAGGGGGUGGUUGCGAGGGGAGGGGCGGAGGGGAGGGGGAAGAAGAGAGUUACACUCGGGGGGUGGCACUGAUGACACGGUACACUCAUGGUACACAUGCCCAUGAGCCCAUGAUUCCCCGCUUGCCCUCCCACGCCUCCUCCCUCCUGCCUCCCACCUCGGCCCGCCUCCUCCAGCUCUCCUGCCUCCCAGCUCGUCGGCCCCGCCCCCUUCCCUCCUGACCCUCCUCCCUCCCUCCCCCCACCUCCCCCAACCUCUCCCUCCCUCACCUCCUGUUUGCGCAGGUAGCCCCCCUCCCCACCUCCUCUCCUCCCUCACCUCCUGUUUGCGCAGGUAGCCCUCCCUCCCUCCCCUCACCUCCUGUUUGCGCAGGUAGCCCUCCAGCCACUGGAUGGCGUCCAGGUCCAGGUGGUUGGUGGGCUCGUCCAG